rnacentral:rRNA from 1 species
AGUGAACGCUGGCGGUAGGCCUAACACAUGCAAGUCGAACGGCAGCACAGUAAGAGCUUGCUCUUACAGGUGGCGAGUGGCGGACGGGGGCGGAAUACAUCGGAGUCUACUUUUUCGUGGGGGAUAACGUAGGGAAACUUACGCUAAUACCGCAGACGGCCUACGGGUGAAAGCAGGGGAUCUUCGGACCUUGCGCGAUUGAAUGAGCCGAUGUCGGAUUAGCUAGUUGGCGGGGUAAAGGCCCACCAAGGCGACGAUCCGUAGCUGGUCUGAGAGGAUGAUCAGCCACACUGGAACUGAGACACGGUCCAGACUCCUACGGGAGGCAGCAGUGGGGAAUAUUGGACAAUGGGCGCAAGCCUGAUCCAGCCAUACCGCGUGGGUGAAGAAGGCCUUCGGGUUGUAAAGCCCUUUUGUUGGGAAAGAAAAGCAGCAGGUUAAUACCCCGCUGUUCUGACGGUACCCAAAGAAUAAGCACCGGCUAACUUCGUG